rnacentral:rRNA from 1 species
AGAGUGAACGCUGGCGGUAGGCCUAACACAUGCAAGUCGAACGGCAGCACAGUAAGAGCUUGCUCUUAUGGGUGGCGAGUGGCGGACGGGUGAGGAAUACAUCGGAAUCUACCUUUUCGUGGGGGGUAACGUAGGGAAACUUACGCUAAUACCGCAUAAGACCUUCGGGUGAAAGCCGGGGACCUUCGGGCCUGGCGCGGAUAGAUGAGCCGAUGUCGGAUUAGCUUGUUGGCGGGGUAAAAGCCCACCAAGGCGACGAUCCGUAGCUGGUCUGAGAGGAUGAUCAGCCACACUGGAACUGAGACACGGUCCAGACUCCGUACGGGAGGCAGUCAGUGGGGAAUAUUGGACAA